UUAGUGUUAAACAUGAUGUCAUACAAAUUGUUCAUAUUAUUAACGAUUUUCAUAAUAAUCCAUAUAUGUGGAGCUCGAGUACCUCGGUGUCAGAUUAUGUGUGGCGAGAUUUAUGAUCCUGUUUGUGCUUCACUAAGGCGCAGAGAUGGCACUACAAUCUACUGUACCUUUUCAAAUGCAUGUAAAUUGGGCGUGCGCCGUUGUGUAUACAUGGAACCUUGGGAAGGUGCUCGAGGAAGAUGUUUUAUUAAUUCUUCUGUAUGCCAAACCUUUACUGGUUAAAAUAUUUUUAUAAAUCUGUAUUUGAAAAAAAAAAAUUGAAAUAUAAAUAAACAUAACUGUUAAUUACUAAUA